UGGAGCAUGUGGUUUAAUUCGAUGAUACGCGAGGAACCUUACCUGGGCUCAAAUGUAUGUUGACGUAUUCUGAAAGGGAUACUUCUUCGGACAAUAUACAAGGUGCUGCAUGGUUGUCGUCAGCUCGUGCCGUGAGGUGUCGGGUUAAGUCCCAUAACGAGCGCAACCCCUAUCAUUAGUUGCCAUCAGGUCAAGCUGGGGACUCUAAUGAAACUGCCUACGCAAGUAGUGAGGAAGGUGGGGAUGACGUCAAAUCAGCACGGCCCUUACGUCCAGGGCUACACACGUGCUACAAUGGCCGAUACAGAGGGCAGCUACCUGGUAACAGGAUACAAAUCUCCAAAGUCGGUCUCAGUUCGGAUCGGAGUCUGCAACCCGACUCCGUGAAGUUGGAUUCGCUAGUAAUCGCGCAUCAGCCAUGGCGCGGUGAAUACGUUCCCGGGCCUU
rnacentral:rRNA from 1 species